rnacentral:rRNA from 1 species
UUUGAGUACCUUCGUUUCCUCGGCGGGUUCGCCCGCCGAUUGGACAAUUUAAACCAUUUGCAGUUGCAAUCAGCGUCUGAAAAAACAUAAUAGUUACAACUUUCAACAACGGAUCUCUUGGUUCUGGCAUCGAUGAAGAACGCAGCGAAAUGCGAUAAGUAGUGUGAAUUGCAGAAUUCAGUGAAUCAUCGAAUCUUUGAACGCACAUUGCGCCCCUUGGUAUUCCAUGGGGCAUGCCUGUUCGAGCGUCAUUUGUACCUUCAAGCUCUGCUUGGUGUUGGGUGUUUGUCUCGCCUCUGCGCGUAGACUCGCCUCAAAACAAUUGGCAGCCGGCGUAUUGAUUUCGGAGCGCAGUACAUCUCGCGCUUUGCAUUCAGAACGACGACGUCCAAAAGUACAUUUUUACAC